AAGGUAAUGGUACAUUAAUCAGUUGG
rnacentral:piRNA from 1 species